GUGACAUAUGAGCCCUUGGCUGCAUUCUCUAUGAGUUCUGAAGAAGCUGAUGAAAGAAUUUCUAGUUUAAUCAUAUGUUUGAUAACUUCGUCACAGUGUUUAGGUCCCGAGUCGCUGCUAAAGUGUCUUCAGCAAAGUCAAUCGCAUUUGAAUAAGACUCAUCACCAGGAAAUGGUUUUCCGGCUGUCUUGGUUAUUUAUCUGAAACUGAUACACGGAGAUAAAUCCUUAUAUUGCUGGGGCCGAUGUCCAGAAUCGCUGAUAGAGGCAGAAGAAGCUACAGACUCUUGCAAACCUCGAGUCCUUUCGUACUUGCAUAGAAAAGUUCUUCUGCCAUCUCGUGCGACAGCGAAAGUUGCAGCAUCCCCGAUGAUGAUGCCUCCGAAAAUUGAACUACGGACGAAAUUUAACCUUUUCUUUUUCUGUUUGUUGAAAUUGAGAGUAAAAUAUUGUCUUUUAAGAUAAAUAAAUACUUUUGUGCUGAACAGUAAAGUAAGAAAAAACAACGCCAAAAAAAGCACAAAUUGCCAAUUACAGCAAACACGUGUUUCGGCGUUACAGGGAACGCCUUUU